rnacentral:rRNA from 1 species
AUGAGAAUUGGAUGGUUCAGUAUGGCCGUGUGUUACAAGGCGCGCCGGUUCGAGGUUUUCAAAGCCAACGUCGAAUUCAUUGAAACACUCAAUGCCCAGAAUCACAAGUUCUGGCUCGGCGUCAACCAGUUCGCUGAUAUCACCAAUGAUGAGUUCAGGACAACCAACACAAACAAGGGGUUGAAAUCAAACUCCAUGCGAGUUCUUUCUACAGGAUUCAAGUAUGAGAAUUUGAGUUUUGAUGCUCUUCCAACAACGAUGGACUGGAGGGCUAAGGGGGCUGUCACCCCUAUCAAGGAUCAAGGCCAGUGUGGUAAGUACACAAAAAAUGUGUUGCACUGCAUAUAUGUUUUAAUAUUUUAG